GACCUUUUAUCGAGGCCGCAAAGUGCCUAUAUUGGGGGUGCCGGCUUGCCGGCUAUGGUGCUAAACGGGCCUGUGAAAUAAGCGUGACGGACCCGGGGGCAGUACCCGGCGCCUCCACCAAUCCCUCUCCACAUCGUCGGAAUCUGGCUUUGCGGAGGGACCUUAUGGGGGCGAAAUAGGAUCGACGUGCGUGGUAAAGAUGGGUUCGGUGCCCGGCAUGGUACCGCCGUUAUCGGGCCGAAACUAUAGUUGCGAACGACAACUACAGUGAGGCUCGCCUCGCCGCUUAAUAGCGGUCAGGUAAGCCAAAUCUAAGUCCUAGACUCUCACAAGUAUAGGCGGGGUCCGGGGCGCACCUGGCAACAGAAGCGCCCCACU
rnacentral:tmRNA from 1 species